GUCAUAAUUCAGUAUCAUGUUACUCUGUCAAACAGCACAAGCGUGAAUAUGAUCCGGGACUCGCAUCCCGACCAAAUGUCGGCGGCAGGAGCGCAGUGCGAGAGUAUGACGGAAUAGCACGCAGCAUAGCCACGCACCCUUCCCAUCUCCCCCACCACACCCCCACCACCACUGAUUUGCAAUGAUCCUUCCGCAGGUUCACCUACGGAAA
rnacentral:misc_RNA from 1 species